rnacentral:lncRNA from 1 species
AAGAACUUCCUUAGUUGGUUAUGGACUUUCACAUAUAUAUUUAUGUUUAAUGGCCUAUAUAAUAAUACAACCAUAACGUCCAUAAAUUUGGUAUUUAUAUCAAUGAGUACUGCCAUAAAAUGUUAUAUAAAUAACGAAACAUAAUGCCAUUCAUAACAUGAGAAUAUAUUUGGGAAUCUCAAUCCCUUGAACUACUAACCUCGCUUAAUUAUUUUCAUUUAGCGAGUUCGGCUCUGCCUCAUUGCUUACUUCUAUAUUUUUAAGUGCUUCUGGCACACUAAUAUAAUUUGUUUUGGAUCCAAAUAAUCUUCAAGUUGAACUAACAAUUUGUUGAGGCAAAAGUUGUUGUCGACAACUAUAAUUUUUUCUAUUAUACGAUUCUCACGUAUUCACAAAGUUCAUGGCAACUUUAGUAAAACCAAAUUUUCACCAUUUCCCAUAAUAUUUGGUCUAGUUGUUUCGUAAUCCCAAUAUUACGAUAAUUUAGUGCACGUGCAAAAUGUAUUGGGAUUAUCGUCUUCAGGACGAUCCUCUU